rnacentral:rRNA from 1 species
AGAGUUUGAUCAUGGCUCAGAGCGAACGCUGGCGGCAGGCUUAACACAUGCAAGUCGAGCGCCUGUAGCAAUACAGGAGCGGCAGACGGGAGAGUAACACGUGGGAACAUGCCCUUCGGUUCGGAAUAACUCAGGGAAACUUGAGCUAAUACCGGAUACGUCCGUAAGGAGAAAGAUUUAUUGCCGAAGGAUUGGCCCGCGUCCGAUUAGCUAGUUGGUGAGGUAACGGCUCACCAAGGCGACGAUCGGUAGCUGGUCUGAGAGGAUGAUCAGCCUCAUUGGGACUGAGACACGGCCCAAACUCCUACGGGAGGCAGCAGUGGGGAAUAUUGGACAAUGGGCGCAAGCCUGAUCCAGCCAUGCCGCGUGGGUGAUGAAGGCCUUAGGGUUGUAAAGCCCUUUCGGCGGGGAAGAUAAUGACGGUACCCGCAGAAGAAGCCCCGGCUAACUUCGUGCCAGCAGCCGCGGUAAUACGAAGGGGGCUAGCGUUGCUCGGAAUCACUGGGCGUAAAGCGCACGUAGGCGGACUCUUAAGUCGGUGGUGAAAUCCUGGAGCUCAACUCCAGAACUGCCUUCGAUACUGGGAGUCUUCGAGUCCGGGAGAGGUGAGUGGAACUGCGAGUGUAGAGGUGAAAUUCGUAGAUAUUCGCAAGAACACCAGUGGCGAAGGCGGCUCACUGGCCCGGUACUGACGCUGAGGUGCGAAAGCGUGGGGAGCAAACAGGAUUAGAUACCCUAGUAGUCC